CGUUGUUCAUAGCGAUGAGUUUGCUAAUGUUUGCGGAACGGAUAGGGAGUGUAGUAUAGACUGGCGAAGAAUGAAAUCUCAAGACCCAGUUUGGACUAACGGAGGCGAAGGCGACACUCUUAGACGUAUCUUAGGAUCAAGGACGAAGGCAGGAGUAUCGAAAGUGAUUAGACACCGCUGUAGUUCCUGCAGUAAACUAUGCCGACAGCCUGUGUGUGAGAAUACGUGGGCGGGAGAAAUCUUAGUGUUCGGGCUCUGGGGAUAGUACGCUCGCAAGGGUGAAACUUAAAGCGAAAUUGACGGAAGGACACUACCAGGAGUGGAUUGUGCUGCUUAAUUUAACUCAACGCGGGAAAACUUACCAGGGUCAAGUCAUUCGUUGAUCGAAUACGUGAGAAUGGCAGGAGUGGUGCAUGGCCGUUGGAAAUUGAUGGGGCGACCUUUAGCUUAAAUGCUUAAACCAGUGAGACCUCCUUGACAGGUGUUCUGUAACACAGGAGGGUGGAGGCUAUAACAGGUCCGUGAUGCCCUUAGAUAUCCUGGGCAGCAAGCGCAAUACAAUAUCUCUUCAGUAGACAAAGUGAUUUGAGAUGAGUAGGAUCUACGUUUGUAAAUACGUAGUGAAUAAGGAAUUCCUAGUAACGGUGCCUCAUCAAGGCAUGGUGAAUGUGUCCCUGUUCUUUGUACACACCGCCCGUCACUAUUUCAGAUGGUCAUAGGGAUGAAGAGCUUCGGCUCUGAAUAUCUAUGGCUAGAUAAAGUACAAGUCGUAACAAGGUUUCAGUUGGAGAACCAGCUGAAGGAUCAUUU
rfam:Enterocytozoon bieneusi H348 ctg01_692, whole genome shotgun sequence.